rnacentral:rRNA from 1 species
GUGUCAGCCGCCGCGGUAAUACGGAGGGUGCAAGCGUUAUCCGGAUUCACUGGGUUUAAAGGGAGCGUAGGUGGGGCGGUAAGUCAGUGGUGAAAUCUCCAAGCUUAACUUGGAAACUGCCGUUGAUACUAACUGUCUUGAAUACCGUGGAGGUGAGCGGAACAUGUCAUGUAGCGGUGAAAUGCUUAGAUAUGACAUAGAACACCAAUUGCGAAGGCAGCUCACUACACGAGCAUUGACUCUGAGGCACGAAAGCGUGGGGAUCAAACAGGAUUAGAUACCCUUGUAGUCC